UGUGAAUAGAAAUCAUUCAUUUAUAUACUGUAUAAAGGUAGCCAGAUGCAAGAGGAUAGGACUCCUGCACCUAAGAGUUGUGUGGAUAAAGGAAUUUCAACAGACACCAGGCCUCAUUUACGUAGAUGGAUUGGAGAUCAAGAAUGCAGUACCAACCAUGCCUACUCAGAAGUAAACCCUACUAUAUUCAGCGUGGACUUGCUACCAGGUACCGUAAAUGGAGUUAGGAUUGCAGUCUCAAUCUGCUACUUGCUUCUGACAAACUCAGCCAUUGAUAAUCAAGUCUAUAUUUGUCCCCCUUACCUGCUGCCUUGCAGGACAUCUUAG